UACAGAGGGUGCAAGCGUUGUUCGGAAUUAUUGGGCGUAAAGCGCGUGUAGGUGGUGGUUCAAGUCGGGUGUGAAAGCCCUCAGCUUAACUGAGGAAGUGCGCCCGAAACUGAAUCGCUAGAGUGUCGGAGGGGAAGGCGGAAUUCCCGGUGUAGAGGUGAAAUUCGUAGAUAUCGGGAGGAACACCAGUGGCGAAGGCGGCCACCUGGACGGACACUGACGCUGAGACGCGAAAGCGUGGGUAGCAAACAGG
rnacentral:rRNA from 1 species